rnacentral:rRNA from 2 species
UUGCACCUGAUUGAUUUUGGUCGCCAACGAGUGGCGGACGGGUGAGUAACACGUAGGUAACCUGCCCAGAAGCGGGGGACAACAUUUGGAAACAGAUGCUAAUACCGCAUAACAGCGUUGUUCGCAUGAACAACGCUUAAAAGAUGGCUUCUCGCUAUCACUUCUGGAUGGACCUGCGGUGCAUUAGCUUGUUGGUGGGGUAACGGCCUACCAAGGCGAUGAUGCAUAGCCGAGUUGAGAGACUGAUCGGCCACAAUGGGACUGAGACACGGCCCAUACUCCUACGGGAGGCAGCAGUAGGGAAUCUUCCACAAUGGGCGCAAGCCUGAUGGAGCAACACCGCGUGAGUGAAGAAGGGUUUCGGCUCGUAAAGCUCUGUUGUUAAAGAAGAACACGUAUGAGAGUAACUGUUCAUACGUUGACGGUAUUUAACCAGAAAGUCACGGCUAACUACGUGCCAGCAGCCGCGGUAAUACGUAGGUGGCAAGCGUUAUCCGGAUUUAUUGGGCGUAAAGAGAGUGCAGGCGGUUUUCUAAGUCUGAUGUGAAAGCCUUCGGCUUAACCGGAGAAGUGCAUCGGAAACUGGAUAACUUGAGUGCAGAAGAGGGUAGUGGAACUCCAUGUGUAGCGGUGGAAUGCGUAGAUAUAUGGAAGAACACCAGUGGCGAAGGCGGCUACCUGGUCUGCAACUGACGCUGAGACUCGAAAGCAUGGGUAGCGAACAGGAUUAGAUACCCUGGUAGUCCAUGCCGUAAACGAUGAGUGCUAGGUGUUGGAGGGUUUCCGCCCUUCAGUGCCGGAGCUAACGCAUUAAGCACUCCGCCUGGGGAGUACGACCGCAAGGUUGAAACUCAAAGGAAUUGACGGGGGCCCGCACAAGCGGUGGAGCAUGUGGUUUAAUUCGAAGCUACGCGAAGAACCUUACCAGGUCUUGACAUCUUGCGCCAACCCUAGAGAUAGGGCGUUUCCUUCGGGAACGCAAUGACAGGUGGUGCAUGGUCGUCGUCAGCUCGUGUCGUGAGAUGUUGGGUUAAGUCCCGCAACGAGCGCAACCCUUGUUACUAGUUGCCAGCAUUAAGUUGGGCACUCUAGUGAGACUGCCGGUGACAAACCGGAGGAAGGUGGGGACGACGUCAGAUCAUCAUGCCCCUUAUGACCUGGGCUACACACGUGCUACAAUGGACGGUACAACGAGUCGCGAACUCGCGAGGGCAAGCAAAUCUCUUAAAACCGUUCUCAGUUCGGACUGCAGGCUGCAACUCGCCUGCACGAAGUCGGAAUCGCUAGUAAUCGCGGAUCAGCAUGCCGCGGUGAAUACGUUCCCGGGCCUUGUACACACCGCCCGUCACACCAUGAGAGUUUGUAAC